rnacentral:rRNA from 1 species
GAGCUCUGAUGCUUAUUGCACCACAUGUGUUUUUCUUUGAAACAAACUUGCUUUGGCGGUGGGCCCAGCCUGCCGCCAGAGGUCUAAACUUACAACCAAUUUUUUAUCAACUUGUCACACCAGAUUAUUACUAAUAGUCAAAACUUUCAACAACGGAUCUCUUGGUUCUCGCAUCGAUGAAGAACGCAGCGAAAUGCGAUACGUAAUAUGAAUUGCAGAUAUUCGUGAAUCAUCGAAUCUUUGAACGCACAUUGCGCCCUCUGGUAUUCCGGAGGGCAUGCCUGUUUGAGCGUCGUUUCUCCCUCAAACCGCUGGGUUUGGUGUUGAGCAAUACGACUUGGGUUUGCUUGAAAGACGGUAGUGGUAAGGCGGGAUCGCUUUGACAAUGGCUUAGGUCUAACCAAAAACAUUGCUUGCGGCGGUAACGUCUACCACGUAUAUCUUCAAACUUUGACCUCAAAUCAGGUAGGACUACCCGCUGAACUUAAGCAUAUCAAUAAGCGGAGGAA